GACGAAGGGGGCUAGCGUUGUUCGGAUUCAUUGGGCGUAAAGGGUGCGUAGGCGGCGCGGUAAGUCGGAUGUGAAAUCUCGGGGCUUAACUCCGAAACUGCAUUCGAUACUGCCGUGCUUGAGGACUGGAGAGGAGACUGGAAUUUACGGUGUAGCGGUGAAAUGCGUAGAUAUCGUAAGGAAGACCAGUGGCGAAGGCGGGUCUCUGGACAGUUCCUGACGCUGAGGCACGAAGGCCAGGGGAGCAAACGGG
rnacentral:rRNA from 1 species